UUAAUUGAAGCCAAAAUUAGAGGCUUAUUACUGUUAAUAAUAAAAUUGAAUUUAUAUUCCAAUUAAA
rnacentral:tRNA from 1 species